rnacentral:snoRNA from 8 species
AAGACUAUACUUGCAGGGAUCAUUUCUAUAGUUCGUUACUUGAGAAAUGUGUGUCUAAAGUGGUAGGUCUCGCUAUCCAUGAUGACGAUUCAAGAUAUUCCCGUUCAAAGCAUGAAUCUGGUGGCUAGAUAUGACUUUGCU